rnacentral:rRNA from 1 species
CCCUUAGAUGUCCUGGGCUGCACGCGCGCUACACUGAUGUGUCCAGUAAGCACCUAACCUCUUCCGAAAGGAACGGGUAACCUUUGCAAAGCACAUCGUGAUGGGGAUAGAUUAUUGCAAUUAUUAGUCUUGAACGAGGAAUUCCUAGUAAGCACAAGUCAUCAGCUUGUGUUGAUUACGUCCCUGCCCUUUGUACACACCGCCCGUCGCUCCAACCGAUUGAAUGUUCCGGUGAGCUCUUCGGACUGCGCGGUCUGCAGUUUCUGCGUUCCGUGCGGAAAGUUGCGCAAACCUUAACAUUUAGAGGAAGGAGAAGUCGUAACA